UACGUAGGCAGCGAGCGUUGUUCGGAGUUACUGGGCGUAAAGCGCGUGUAGGCGGUUGUUCAAGUCAGGUGUGAAAGCCUUGAGCUCAACUCAAGAAAUGCACUUGAUACUGGAUGACUAGAGGACCGGAGAGGAUAGUGGAAUUCCCAGUGUAGUGGUGAAAUACGUAGAGAUUGGGAAGAACACCAGUGGCGAAGGCGGCUAUCUGGACGGUUUCUGACGCUAAGACGCGAAAGCGUGGGGAGCAAACAGG
rnacentral:rRNA from 1 species